ensembl:snRNA U6 U6 spliceosomal RNA
GCAUGUUCACUUCGGCACACAUAUACUAAAAUUGGAAUGAUACAGAGAUGAUCCCUGUGCAAGGAUGACACUCAAAUUCCUGAAGCAUUCCAUAUUUUU